rnacentral:rRNA from 1 species
UUAAAUGAGAGUUUGAUCCUGGCUCAGGACGAACGCUGGCGGCGUGCCUAAUACAUGCAAGUCGAACGCUUCUUUUUCCACCGGAGCUUGCUCCACCGGAAAAAGAGGAGUGGCGAACGGGUGAGUAACACGUGGGUAACCUGCCCAUCAGAAGGGGAUAACACUUGGAAACAGGUGCUAAUACCGUAUAACAAUCGAAACCGCAUGGUUUUGAUUUGAAAGGCGCUUUCGGGUGUCGCUGAUGGAUGGACCCGCGGUGCAUUAGCUAGUUGGUGAGGUAACGGCUCACCAAGGCCACGAUGCAUAGCCGACCUGAGAGGGUGAUCGGCCACAUUGGGACUGAGACACGGCCCAAACUCCUACGGGAGGCAGCAGUAGGGAAUCUUCGGCAAUGGACGAAAGUCUGACCGAGCAACGCCGCGUGAGUGAAGAAGGUUUUCGGAUCGUAAAACUCUGUUGUUAGAGAAGAACAAGGAUGAGAGUAACUGUUCAUCCCUUGACGGUAUCUAACCAGAAAGCCACGGCUAACUACGUGCCAGCAGCCGCGGUAAUACGUAGGUGGCAAGCGUUGUCCGGAUUUAUUGGGCGUAAAGCGAGCGCAGGCGGUUUCUUAAGUCUGAUGUGAAAGCCCCCGGCUCAACCGGGGAGGGUCAUUGGAAACUGGGAGACUUGAGUGCAGAAGAGGAGAGUGGAAUUCCAUGUGUAGCGGUGAAAUGCGUAGAUAUAUGGAGGAACACCAGUGGCGAAGGCGGCUCUCUGGUCUGUAACUGACGCUGAGGCUCGAAAGCGUGGGGAGCAAACAGGAUUAGAUACCCUGGUAGUCCACGCCGUAAACGAUGAGUGCUAAGUGUUGGAGGGUUUCCGCCCUUCAGUGCUGCAGCUAACGCAUUAAGCACUCCGCCUGGGGAGUACGACCGCAAGGUUGAAACUCAAAGGAAUUGACGGGGGCCCGCACAAGCGGUGGAGCAUGUGGUUUAAUUCGAAGCAACGCGAAGAACCUUACCAGGUCUUGACAUCCUUUGACCACUCUAGAGAUAGAGCUUCCCCUUCGGGGGCAAAGUGACAGGUGGUGCAUGGUUGUCGUCAGCUCGUGUCGUGAGAUGUUGGGUUAAGUCCCGCAACGAGCGCAACCCUUAUUGUUAGUUGCCAUCAUUCAGUUGGGCACUCUAGCAAGACUGCCGGUGACAAACCGGAGGAAGGUGGGGAUGACGUCAAAUCAUCAUGCCCCUUAUGACCUGGGCUACACACGUGCUACAAUGGGAAGUACAACGAGUCGCGAAGUCGCGAGGCUAAGCUAAUCUCUUAAAGCUUCUCUCAGUUCGGAUUGCAGGCUGCAACUCGCCUGCAUGAAGCCGGAAUCGCUAGUAAUCGCGGAUCAGCACGCCGCGGUGAAUACGUUCCCGGGCCUUGUACACACCGCCCGUCACACCACGAGAGUUUGUAACACCCGAAGUCGGUGAGGUAACCUUUUGGAGCCAGCCGCCUAAGGUGGGAUAGAUGAUUGGGGUGAAGUCGUAACAAGGUAGCCGUAUCGGAAGGUGCGGCUGGAUCACCUCCUUU